UACAGAGGGUGCGAGCGUUGUUCGGAAUUAUUGGGCGUAAAGGGCGCGUAGGCGGUGCGGUAAGUCACCUGUGAAAUCUCCUGGCUCAACUGGGAGCUUGCAGGCGAAACUGCCGUGCUGGAGUGUGGGAGAGGUGCGUGGAAUUCCUGGUGUAGCGGUGAAAUGCGUAGAUAUCAGGAGGAACACCUGUGGCGAAAGCGGCUCACUGGACCACAACUGACGCUGAGGCGCGAAAGCUAGGGGAGCAAAAGGG
rnacentral:rRNA from 1 species